rnacentral:rRNA from 1 species
AUGGGAGAUCUCAAUGAACUUUUGUAUGAUGUGAAUAAAAGUAAUGCUAAUGUGAAUUAUCGUGUGUAUGCUUUUUGUACUUUGAUCAAGAAUUGUGGUUUUUUUGAUUUGGGGUUCUCGGGUCCUGCUUAUACUUGGAUUAAUAGAAGAUUUUCUUCCAAACCUACUCAUGAAAGGCUUGAUAGAGGUUUAUUUAAUCCUGAUUAGUGUGCUGAGUACCCCCUCACUAAAGUUCUUAACCUUCGCAUUAUUCUUAGUGAUCACGCUCCCAUCCUUAUUAUCACUGAAGUUAGGUACAGAAAACCUAAACAAAGUUUCAAGAUCGAUAAUUGA